rnacentral:rRNA from 1 species
AGAGUUUGAUCCUGGCUCAGAAUGAACGCUGGCGGCGUGCCUAACACAUGCAAGUCGAACGAGAAAAUGGGCUUCGGUCCAUGAGUAAAGUGGCAGACGGGUGAGUAACACGUGGGUAACCUACCCGGUGGCGGGGGAUAACCUUUCGAAAGGAAGGCUAAUACCGCAUAACACCUCGGAUUCUUCGGAAACCGAGGCCAAAGCUAGCCUCUACUUGUAAGCUAGUACCACCGGAGGGGCCCGCGCCCCAUUAGCUAGAUGGUGAGGUAACGGCUCACCAUGGCUACGAUGGGUAGCCGGCCUGAGAGGGUGAUCGGCCACACUGGAACUGAGACACGGUCCAGACUCCUACGGGAGGCAGCAGUGAGGAAUUUUGCGCAAUGGGGGAAACCCUGACGCAGCGACGCCGCGUGGAGGAGGAAGGUCUUCGGAUCGUAAACUCCUGUCAAGAGGGACGAAUGCCGCGGGGAUGAAUAAGCCCUGCGGUUGACGGUACCUCUGAAGAGCCC